rnacentral:tRNA from 1 species
GUGUGGCUCUGUGGCAGAGCAUCUGCUUCGCAUGCAAGACGCUGCGGGUUCAAUUCCCCACUGUCUCCA